GAUGAACGCUAGCGAUAGGCCUAACACAUGCAAGUCGAGGGGCAUCACAUGAAGUAGCAAUACGGAUGGUGGCGACCGGCGCACGGGUGAGUAACACGUAUGCAACCUGCCUUCAACAAGGGGAUAACCCGUUGAAAGACGGACUAAUACCCUAUAACACAGGGGUCCCGCAUGGGGAUAUUUGUUAAAGGACAACCGGUUGAAGAUGGGCAUGCGUUCCAUUAGCUAGUUGGCGGGGUAAGGGCCCACCAAGGCAACGAUGGAUAGGGGAACUGAGAGGUUUAUCCCCCACACUGGGACUGAGACACGGCCCAGACUCCUACGGGAGGCAGCAGUGAGGAAUAUUGGACAAUGGAUGGAAAUCUGAUCCAGCCAUGCCGCGUGAAGGACGACGGUCCUAUGGAUUGUAAACUUCUUUUGCAAGGGAAUAAAGUGGGCCACGUGUGGCCUUUUGCAAGUACCUUGCGAAUAAGGAUCGGCUAACUCCGUGCCAGCAGCCGCGGUAAAU
rnacentral:rRNA from 1 species